rnacentral:pre_miRNA from 1 species
AGAGGCGCCGGAUCCUGGGCUGAGUCCCCGGCGCACUGUGCUCCCAGGCCUGAGCUGUUGGAAUCGUGCUCCAGGCCGCCCAGGCCCCU